GCACGGGAGCAAUCCUGGUGGCGAGUGGCGAACGGGUGAGUAAUACAUCGGAACGUGCCCAGUAGUGGGGGAUAGCCCGGCGAAAGCCGGAUUAAUACCGCAUACGACCUACGGGUGAAAGCGGGGGAUCGCAAGACCUCGCGCUAUUGGAGCGGCCGAUGGCAGAUUAGGUUGUUGGUGAGGUAAAAGCUCACCAAGCCGACGAUCUGUAGCUGGUUUGAGAGGACGACCAGCCACACUGGGACUGAGACACGGCCCAGACUCCUACGGGAGGCAGCAGUAGGGAAUCUUCCGCAAUGGACGAAAGUCUGACGGAGCAACGCCGCGUGAGUGAUGAAGGUUUUCGGA
rnacentral:rRNA from 1 species